CCCUUAGAGUUUGAUCCUGGCUCAGAACGAACGCUGGCGGCGUGGAUAAGACAUGCAAGUCGAACGAGAGAAUUGCUAGCUUGCUAAUAAUUCUCUAGUGGCGCACGGGUGAGUAACACGUGAGUAACCUGCCCCCAAGAGUGGGAUAGCCCCGGGAAACUGGGAUUAAUACCGCAUAAAAUCGCAAGAUUAAAGCAGCAAUGCGCUUGGGGAUGGGCUCGCGUCCUAUUAGUUAGUUGGUGAGGUAACGGCUCACCAAGGCGAUGACGGGUAGCCGGUCUGAGAGGAUGUCCGGCCACACUGGAACUGAGACACGGUCCAGACACCUACGGGUGGCAGCAGUCGAGAAUCAUUCACAAUGGGGGAAACCCUGAUGGUGCGACGCCGCGUGGGGGAAUGAAGGUCUUCGGAUUGUAAGACCCCUGUCAUGUGGGAGCAAAUAAAA
rnacentral:rRNA from 1 species